ACGCUCGACACCUACGGAGGCAGCAGUGGGGAAUAUUGCACAAUGGGGGAAACCCUGAUGCAGCGACGCCGCGUGAGCGAAGAAGUAUUUCGGUAUGUAAAGCUCUAUCAGCAGGGAANAAAAUGACGGUACCUGACUAAGAAGCCCCGGCUAACUACGUGCCAACAGCCGCGGUAAUCUGAGCGGGCUGGCAAGGC
rnacentral:rRNA from 1 species